AGAGUUAUGUUCAAGUAUGUUUGGUCCCUCAUUUGAGUCCACCUGUGUAGGUUCGGACCCGAGGAACCGAGGACCCCAGCAGUGAGUUCAGCUGCUUCGGUAUUGUCAGAGUCAGCCAGAGGUGAGUGGAACUAAACUCAAUCUUUUAAAUUAAAUGUUUUAUCAUGUUUCAUGCAUCAUGAUUAUGCAAUAGGAUGAUUGCAUUAGUUUUCACGAAUAUGCCGCAUUGCAUAAAUUGUUGUUGUUGUGGGUGAAUGUUGGAUGACCCAAUUAGUCCAAGACAGGAAGACCAGGACCCCAUGCUACGGCCUGGCACAGAGUUACAGUAAGACCAGGACCCCAUUCUACGGCCUGGCACAGAGUAAGGU
rnacentral:lncRNA from 1 species